rnacentral:rRNA from 1 species
UGGGGAAUAUUGCACAAUGGGGGAAACCCUGAUGCAGCGACGCCGCGUGAGCGAAGAAGGUUUUCGAAUCGUAAAGCUCUGUCCUAUGAGAAGAUAAUGACGGUAUCAUAGGAGGAAGCCCCGGCUAAAUACGUGCCAGCAGCCGCGGUAAUACGUAUGGGGCGAGCGUUGUCCGGAAUUAUUGGGCGUAAAGGGUACGUAGGCGGUCUAUUAAGUCAGGUGUGAAAGCGUGAGGCUUAACCUCAUUAAGCACUUGAAACUGAUAUGCUUGAGUGAAGGAGAGGAAAGUGGAAUUCCUAGUGUAGCGGUGAAAUGCGUAGAUAUUAGGAGGAAUACCGGUGGCGAAGGCGACUUUCUGGACUUUUACUGACGCUCAGGUACGAAAGCGUGGGGAGCAAACAGG